rnacentral:rRNA from 1 species
AGUGAACGCUGGCGGUAGGCCUAACACAUGCAAGUCGAACGGCAGCACAGUAAGAGCUUGCUCUUACGGGUGGCGAGUGGCGGACGGGUGAGGAAUACAUCGGAAUCUACUUUUUCGUGGGGGAUAACGUAGGGAAACUUACGCUAAUUCCGCAUACGACCUACGGGUGAAAGCAGGGGAUCUUCGGACCUUGCGCGAUUGAAUGAGCCGAUGUCGGAUUAGCUAGUUGGCGGGGUAAAGGCCCACCAAGGCGACGAUCCGUAGCUGGUCUGAGAGGAUGAUCAGCCACACGGGAACUGAGACACGGUCCAGACUCCUACGGGAGGCAGCAGUGGGGAAUAUUGGACAAGGGGCGCAAGCCUGAUCCAGCCAUACCGCGUGGGUGAAGAAGGCCUUCGGGUUGUAAAGCCCUUUUGUUGGGAAAGAAAAGCAGCAGGUUAAUACCCCGCUGUUCUGACGGUACCCAAAGAAUAAGCACCGGCGAACUUCGU